GGAAACAAGAAUUGAAUUACAUCAAGAGGAACAAGAAUACAAUCACUUUGAGAUUACGAAAUUGAAUGACAUUUUUACCUCGGGACCCAGUCAGGUAUAUGAACGAAUACAAGUUAUACAUUUUGGGUUCUUUGUUUGAGCUUUUCAUAUCGUUUGAAAGCGGUGAGAAAACAAAUAUACCUGAUGAUAAAAAGGUCAGAAUUUGUCAAAGAGUAUGGUUUAAAGUAUCUUCUUCAUGUGUUCUCUAGUUGGUGGACUUGCAGAGGAAGCAGAUACUGUCGACCCAGCUCUUCUUCUGUUUUGUGCUUUGAGACUUGGUGUUUCUCGCUUAUAAUAUCAAUAACUUUAGAGCUUGAUGUAAACAAAUUAAAAAUUGGCAAAAAGAGUCAAAGUGUGUACGUAGAAUUCUAUAUCGUAUUUAUUUAUUUUUUAUUCUAGUUAGGUUUAAUAAUGUUUAUUCUAUUUAAUUUAAUAUUUGAUGAUAUAUAUUAAUAUAUAUGUCUGAGUGGACUAAAUAUUUAUAACUAAAACAAUCAAGUUCUUUUUUUUUUUUUUGACAAAGAACAGUUAAGUACUUUAAAGUAAAGUUCACUAUGGAACCGAAAAUAAAUAUGAUCGUAUAUAUUUAACAAUGUCAUUCGUAUAUGGUUUUGAACUCACUGUUUUAUUUUUAUCAGUACUUUUCACUUCCGCGACAUUUUUAUUUAGUUUUUAAUCCUUAAACUUGAAUUUCUAAGUCGAUAUUUAUACUUUAAACACAAUAUUCAACAACUUUAAACACCAUUUCCCACCAGCUGAUCCUUCAUUUGUGAUUGACUGAUUUCCCUUCUGUUCAUUUAUUAUGGAAAAGGAUAAAUUUGAGAAAAAAGGGUCCAAUCGAAGGUAGGUGUAGUUGUUUAGGUAAGAAAGAAGCUUGCUUGUACCUUCUGGUAAUGUGUUCGUAAAAACUGAACCUAUAAACCCAAUCCACCUACCCAUCUUUUCUUCCAUUUUAUUUUUACUCCAAGUUUCCUUCCAAUUUUAGUAUAUAUCUAUCCCUGUUCGACCAAACAAAAAAAUAUUUUUUUCUGCUCGAAUUUAAUAAUGAAGUGUGUUUUAGUACACACAAUUUUAACUGACAUAAUAUUAUUAUUUUUGCGCAACAUAACUUACAUAAAACCCUACUUUUCUUUUUUUCUAUCAAAACAUAAAAGCAUACUUUAUCUUCUUUAAAUUUAAAUACGCGUAUAAUAUCCGUGACAAAAAAAUAUACGUAUAAUAAAUUGAAACAAGUCGUGAUAAUUUCAACAUCGACUCAUCAGUCACAGAAGUUUCUCAUUAAUCAAAUUGAAAAUACACAAAAGAUACCAUUUUAAAUGGUUUCAUCCAUCAAAGUAGUUGGACAUAGUUAGAUGCAUCUUGGUUAAGUGCAAACUUUUUUUUUAGAGCAAACUAUUUGUUUUCAAGCUGUAACCAGGUUAUGUGUCCACACCAAACAACAAUACUCGAAUUAAGCAGAUGCACAAUUGCAUGUUAACAGUAAUUAAGCCAUUAAUUUUGAGAAUAAUUAGUAUCUAAUUGUAUUUCACGUCCGUCCAAUUUUUUGCGUUGAUAUUCUUAUAUGGUUUCUGUUUAAUAUAAAAUAUCUUAUUUAUGAAUUUGUGCAGAUAUUAUAAAAAAAAAUUAUAUUAGAUGUAUCUAUCACUGUGCGUCUCUAUUAUAACGUGGAUCAAGAUUCCUUUCUUAUCUUCAUCACUCUCACAUUCCUCUGUCUUCAAACUCACACAAAGAAAAAGAAACUAGAAAAUGACUCGACCGGCAAGAUUCCUCGAGACGGCGGCGACGCCACCACAACCGUCGGAGCAGAUGCUUGCGGCGGAAUCCGACAUGGUUGUGAUCUUGUCGGCUCUUCUCUGCGCUCUCAUAUGCGUAGCUGGCCUUGCCGCCGUCGUACGCUGCGCUUGGCUCCGACGGUUUACCACCGGAGAAAAUUCUCCGUCGGCGAACAAAGGCCUGAAGAAGAAAGCUCUCCAGUCUCUCCCAAGAUCCACUUUCACCGCGGCGGAAUCAACCUCCGGCACGGCCGCCGAAGACGGUGGAGAUUCGACGGAAUGUGCGAUUUGUCUCAGUGAUUUCGCCGACGGCGAAGAGAUCAGAGUGCUUCCUCUCUGUGGCCAUUCCUUCCACGUGGAGUGUAUUGACAAAUGGCUUGUCUCCAGGUCUUCGUGUCCUUCUUGUCGCCGGAUUCUUAGGCCGGUGAGAUGUGACCGGUGCGGUCACGCUUCCACGGCGGGGAGUCAAAUGAAAGAUCAUCAACAUCACCAACACUCGUCGCAGCUCACUUCCUCUAUUCCUACUUUUCUUCCUUAACACUAAUUUUUUCUUAAGUAUCUGAAUAAUUAAUUCAGAAAGUAUGUAAAGUGAGUUUCAUUAGUAAAAUUCUUAGGAAAUAGAGAUCUUUUGUGUGAUUUUUCUUGUAAUUUAUCGUGUUUAAAUCAAUUAGAUGGAGUUUAUAGUUCUUUUUUUUAUCAAAGGAGUUUAUAGUUCUUGAUGUUUAUUUACAAGUAAAUUAUAUAAUAUAAAUGAAAAUUUAUUACACAAAUAAAUUGAUUAUUGAUUAGACAGCUUCUGCAGUGACAAAAAAAAAAAAAAGAUUAGACAGCUUCUGGAGACGGCCAUGUGAUACCUGAACACAAAGUCCAUACCCCCUCGGUCCCUCCGGAAAACUACCAAAUUUAUUUCCAGGGAAAUACAAAUACUUCUCUUACAUUUGGAUAAAACUUGUUUUUCUCUUGUCUAGACUCUAUAGUGAAAGCUGUUUUACAAUCAAAAUUCUGCAAUAUAAAAAUAUGUUUCAUAAAUGUUGACAUAUCCGGUUAAUUUGAAGUAUGUAACAGUUAUCAAAGGGUUAACGAGAUGUAUACAUUACUCCAAUAAAUAUUUUUAUUUACACUUUGGUCGAAUCAUUAGUAAUUUUAUAAUUUAUUAGCCACUUUUCUCUAUGGGUUUCUAGAGCCUUGCAACAAACACAGCCCAACAGAUAUAACGGAUCAGUUAACAAUGGUGAACCAAAAGGAAAAGUUGAUAUUUUAGGCCUCGGCAUUUGAGAAUUCGAGUUCGGUCUAUUUAUUGGAUCUUCGGAUCAUGUUCAUAAAUCUCAUUUAAAUUCUUUAAUUUUCAUGUCAACUGGACAUGACGGAACCGAGAAGGUGUUCCAACUCUCAAGCCUUGUAUAUUGGCAACGAGUAACGCCUCGUUGACAUCCAUCCCGCCAGCUGAGGAGAUUAAGCGAGCUCUCUUUGCCAUACAUCCGACAAAGUCCAGGCCCAUAUGGUUUCACAGUCUGCUUCUCCUGUCUAACUGGUAAACAAUGGGUCCAGUAAAUAUUGGUUGAAGUCCGAGGCUUCUUCUUAUUGGCCAUCUACAUUAUUAACAGCUAUAUUAUUAUUUUCAAAAUGAAUUUUACAUUCAAACUUUCACAUUAAAAAUUUAAAUCGGCUAAAUACGUUGUUACUCUUAAUGCAUAACUAAAUUUGUUAAUAUAUAAUAUAAAAUUAGCCAUAAACUAAAAAAAAUUUCAUUAAUUUGAUAAUUAUUAGAAUCUAAAAAAUAGUUUAGUUAUAUUGUGUUAUCCAAAAAAUAUUUUACAUCGAAAAAAUUUAGGAUAGAAAGAUAAAUACAUAUAUAGCUUUGUAUAUAGUUUUUUAAUAUAAAUGAGUGUUUUCAAGUUUACUUUAGGCAAUACAGAUAAUUUUAUUAUUAUGAAAAACUUUGGAAUAUAUAAAUAUUUAUCUUUAAUUUAUUACUAAAUAUUUUUUCAAGCUUAUUUUAGACGAUAAAAAGUAUUUAAAUUGUGAUGAAAUACUUUGUUAUAUAUAAGUAAUUUAUUAUCAAAUAUUAAAUGCAUGAACAAUGAUUUAUUAUAAUGGUUUUUAAAUUGAUAAUGUAUCUAUCUAUAAAUAUAUAUAAAAUUAUUAUGUUGUGGUAAAUUUUAUGUUUAUUAAUUCAAAGUAAAUAUAUAUAUAUCUAUCUUUAAAAAUUAGUAAUACAAAGUUGUGGUAAAUUUUAUGUUUUUGAUUAAAAGUUAAUUAAACAGGUUAAGAUUUGUGAGUUUUUUGUUAAAAGCAAAUAGAACAAAGAAUUAAAAGCAAAUUCUAAGUUUUUUUUUUCCAGAAAGCGAAACAAAAUUUUAAUUCCGAGUAAGACCGAGGACCACCCCCUUCUCUUCCCUUUUUGGUGUCCAGCGUUCUACCUUAACGGUACACAAGACACACAUUUGCUUGCUUUCUUCCCUCACUGCCUCAAAAUCGAAGAGUGAACAUCUAAUCUCCUCCUGAAUCAUACCCUCUGUUUUCUUUCUACAGUCAGUACCGUCUCUCUGUUUCCUUCCCGUCUGACUUUGUUGUUCGGUUUUGUUCUUAGGGUUCGUGUUCGAUUUUGUUGUUAGGGUCGUUUUGUCCAGAGUCAUGUAGACCCAUAAGAUCACUCGUGCUUUAGUGCUUAAAGACUCGUGCUUUUCUCCUAAAAGAGACAAUACUCCUUGCGAAAGUUGUGUUUUUUUCUUGCUUAUAGUGAUUCUGUUUUCUUGUUUCAGAGUGUCAAGAACAUCAUGGGCUCUCUUCUCUUUCUCUUAAAGGUAGCAAUCUCCUCUGCUUCUUUUGUUCUUGUUUUCAUCUUCUUUUUGCUUGAUCUUAGGUUUCUCGUCGCAGGAGAAGAAGGGAGUAUUGUGGAGAGGUUUGAAGGUAUCAGCAAUCUUUGGUCUUGGAUUCUGCACGCGUAUGUGGCACUAAAAGAUCUUUGGGUCAUUCAAUUAGUUUUAUGAUUUUGUAGCAGUUGGUUUUGGGAUUUUGAUGUGUGUGUUUAUUUUGUCUUUACUUCAGAUAAUGCUUUGACCAUUUAUCCAAAUGAGUUGAGUAAAAAAUCCCAAAAGGUAAUCAAGAAUUGGUGUUUUUGAAAGGCCACAGUUACAGUUGAUUUCUUAUGUCUCUUUUUCUCAUGUUUCAGGCGUUGGCUAAAGCGAAGUAUUUUGAAGAGGUAAGCAAGCAAUGGUGUUAUGCAUUUGAUUUUGAAAAGGCAUAGUUAUAUCGGUUGACCUGUAAUGUCUCAGGAGUAUAGGGCUAGGCUGGCUAGGGUGAAAGAACGCAGAAAAGAGUUGGACGAGAAUCUGCAGGUAAACACACAAGAAAUGGUGUUAAUGCAUCCAAAAUUUGUUGAUUUUUUUUUAAAAGGAUUGUGCUUGAUCUCUGUAAUUAAUCUCUUUCUCAUGCUGCUUCAGAUCUGCAGGGAUGGACUGGCAAAUGUGGAACAGCUUAAAAGAGAACUUGAAAAAGCUGAGAGGCCCGAACCUGUGGAAACGUGUUGUGAAUCUCAUGAAGAAUCUGUGUGGAGUUUCAUAUGAGCUAAAUGGAUCACAAGAAACGAUCUGAUUUGGUGCAGAACAGGAACCAAACUAAUUAAUUACUAAGUAGCUGAAGGCUGUGAUUGUCUCAUUAAUAUUAAACAUUGUAUUCACAACUCCGGUCAUGGUCUCAAAAUGUAUGCAAAGGGUUUUGGUACAUCUAAAGGAAACAAGAAUUGAAUUACAUCAAGAGGAACAAGAAUACAAUCACUUUGAGAUUACGAAAUUGAAUGACAUUUUUACCUCGGGACCCAGUCAGGUAUAUGAACGAAUACAAGUUAUACAUUUUGGGUUCUUUGUUUGAGCUUUUCAUAUCGUUUGAAAGCGGUGAGAAAACAAAUAUACCUGAUGAUAAAAAGGUCAGAAUUUGUCAAAGAGUAUG
rnacentral:lncRNA from 1 species